rnacentral:tRNA from 1 species
CCUGGUGGCUCAGUGGUAAAGAAUCUGUUUGCAGUGCAGGAGAUGCGGGUUCAAUCCCUGCCUCAAGGA